rnacentral:rRNA from 1 species
UACGUAGGGUGCAAGCGUUAAUCGGGAUGACUGGGCGUAAAGGGUGCGCAGGCGGCCUGUUAAGACAGAGGUGAAAUCCCCGGGCUUAACCUGGGAAUGGCCUAUGUGACUGGCAGGCUAGAGGAUGGCAGAGGGAGGCGGAAUUCCACGUGUAGCAGUGAAAUGCAUUGAGAUCGGAAAGAACACCAACGGCGAAAGCACUCUGCUGGGCCGACACUGACACUGAGAGACGAAAGCUAGGGGAGCAAAUGGG